UACGAAGGGGGCUAGCGUUGUUCGGAUUUACUGGGCGUAAAGCGCACGUAGGCGGAUCUUUAAGUCAGAGGUGAAAUCCCAAGGCUCAACCUUGGAACUGCCUUUGAUACCGGAGAUCUUGAGUCCGGGAGAGGUGAGUGGAACUGCGAGUGUAGAGGUGAAAUUCGUAGAUAUUCGCAAGAACACCAGUGGCGAAGGCGGCUCACUGGCCCGGUACUGACGCUGAGGUGCGAAAGCGUGGGGAGCAAACAGG
rnacentral:rRNA from 1 species